UUUUCUUUUUUUUUUUUUUUUUGUAUUUCGGUGGUUGGAAAAUUCAGGGAGAGUUCGCAUUUGGUAAAUGUGACCUCAAGGAACUCGCAUUUGGUAAAUGUGAGCUCAAGGAACUCGCAUUUACUAAAUGCGAACACCCCUUUUACAGAAUCCCAUACACAAAAUGCCCCCUUUGUAGAAUUUUUUUAAAAAUCAUCAUAAUAUUAGAAAUUUCUCAAAACAUGCUAGCAUAGGCAUCCAAGAAAACCACUUCUUCACCAGGCAUUUUCUCAGAGUUAUGAAUCAAAUUAAAGGAAUGCUCAAGCAUGCAAGAUUUGGUGAUACAUUGGGCGCUAGAGCCUCAGUUUUUAUAGUAAAUUUUGUCACCAUGUAUAUUCUUUCUUUCUUUCUUUCUUUUUUAGUAGUUAGUCUACUAUAUGACAUAGGUGUAGAUAGUUACAUGGAAAUUUCGAGCUCCACCCCAAGUAGUUUGUGGAAAAUGCUGGUGCGCCUGCUGUCUUGUCUACAAACAAAUUUUCUCUUCCUUUCAGUUAGGAGAUCAAACAUUUUCUAUGAAGCAUGAUCAUGAGCAAAAAUCUUUUCAGUUAUUGUGUGCAGUUUAUAAUUGUAUAGACCCGUAUAAGUGCAUAUAGUUGUUUUUUAUUGUACAGAAUGUUUAAUUUGCUUAAGAAACUUAGAAAGAUGUUUGAUAAAUGAGUGUAUCAGUAUCACUGAAUGAGAAUAAAAGAGUUUAAAAUUUGUCCUCUACCAUUGCUCACUUAUGACUUGGGUUUUAAGUUGAUUAACUUAUUAGUAAAUGAAACCUAUUCCGACACCAAACCAAACAAGUAAGAGGAAUAACGAGAAUUACUGGUGUUUAAGCUUUUGCUUUUGAUUUUGAAAUACGAAUCAAACAAAAUGCUUUUACAUACAUUUACGUACAACAUGUGACAUUUGUCUUUGAAUAAGAUGGGAGCGGAGAUGCCAGCGGUGCCCACAAUACAUAUUUGCUUAGUAGAGACUCAAUUCCAAAUACGGCAAUGCUUGUGUUGCGAAAAGGAGAAUUUUGAAUGUACACAUAGUAUAGAGGUGAUCGCCAACUCAUUCUAUAUGAUAUCUGAAUAGUUGUAAAAGGCUAGAAAGAUAUACCACAUGGACUUCAUGUAUGCCAAAAAGUUAAAGGGUGUGUUUGGUUCCAUAGAAUUGGAAUUCUAUAGAAUCAAAAUUCUAUAAAUUGUAAUUCCAAAUCAUUGCAAUUCUUUUAUUUGGAAAAAGCAUAGAAUUGAUAAGGAAUGCAUUUGGAAUUCCAAAUUCUUUGUUUGAAUGGUUACAAGUUACGUAAAAUUUGAAUUCACAUAGAAUUAGAAUCGUACACUGUGACAUGAUUUCAUUAUAAGAUUGGUUUGAUAUGUCAUAGAUUAGCUAGCUCAAAUGGCUCAAAAGUUCUAGUAUCUUAACACAAUCAUUAAUUUUUUUUUUUUAUUAGAAAUCAAGAAUUUACGAAUAGUCUAAUAUUUUAUGCAACGAAAUUAAAGAAAUAAACAAAUAAAUAAAAUUGGAAGUAGUGUCGGUUGUAUUUUUUUAUUAUUAUUAUAAGAAGGUAAAUAGCACAACCUUGCUCUUUUAGUCAAAUGUCAAAGUAGGUUGUCAAUAAUUCCCAAUCAUAUAUGAUAAGAAUGCAUUAAAUAUUAACGUUACAGUUAUGUUUUAUGUUUUAUAUUUGUAUUGAUAAUACAAUUAACUCAUGAUCAUAGAGUAACAAUAAACAAGACAUCUCAAAAUACAAGAAAGAAACAAAGAGUAUCUAAAAUUUGUUCUACGUUUUCUGCGAGUAACACGGUAACAAUACGCCAAUUGUGCAAAAGAGGCAAAUUUAGGAUGUGGAGAACAGAGUUUAGGGUCUUGCUACUUGCAUGUAAUUGCUUGUUAGGAUUAUACAUUGACAUCUUAACUGAGCACUGGAGACUAAAACGAAAAUAUCGAUUGGUUACUUUAGUUUUUUAUUUUCUUUUUCGAGCCAAAGUUUGAGAGGAUUUCUUGAAAAAGAUCAAGCUAGCUUAUCUCAGUGCAUGUGGGUUGGUUCUUAAAAGGAUAGGUAACUAACGAGGAGAUUAAAAGAAUGUGAAAUGUGUACUCUCAUUUAGUUAUAUUAUAUGAGUUUGGUACCUCUGCAUUCCCUGCACAUUUUAUUAGACCACAAGAAUGGAAGGGAGCGGAAAUUUAAAAAAUAAAAAUAAAAAUUCAGCGUAGCUAUCGAACUUAGUCAAUCCAGCAGCCCAGCAUUUUUUUUAAAAAAAAAUUCUUUACUGCCAGACUUAGCAUUUUUAAAAAUAAUAAUAAUUUUUGUGACGACCUCACCUUCUUCUAAAGCAUACCUUAAGAGUUAGCGGAUCGCCUGUCUGGCUCUCGUCAGAGCUCACUCACUUACAUUAAUUUCAGAGAUAACAUUUUGAUAAACCAAAACCUAACGCUCAAAUCUUUUACAAUACUAAGUUCAAUACAAAAGCUUCAACCGUUUGGCACUAGACAAUUUACAAUCACGAAAGUUUUCACGUUAACUCCCUAAGAUCCCUCGUUCAUUCCCCGACCACCAACUCAUGUAAGGAAAACAAAACUAAAGGACUGAGCUAAAACUCAGUGAGGUUUGCCGAGCAAGCAACAUUUAAUAAACACUUAAAUCAAUACAAUUAAGCAAGUAGUGCACAUUUCACUGUACAAGCACUUACAUUAAACAAUUGAGGAAACACUUCACUAAACAAUCACUUUUAAAAAGAUACGGUGCUCACAUUAGAGCCACUUCAAUGUCAUUGAGCAUUCAUUUUAGUGUCAAGAGACACUCAUUUCACUGUCAUUGUACAUUCAUUUCAAUAUCAUUGCACACUCCGCCGAUUCACCUCCUUAUGUCCUCCAAAACAAUAAAUAAUCCCCUACAUUCAAUAAUCAGUUCAAUAAUCUCCCAACCUCAUAGUAAUACUCGAGUAUAUCGAAACAUUUACCCAAAGCUACCAUCCUACCCGACCAAGCCCUUUGCUGGCUCGAAUAAUCCAUUGAAUAGAGGCUUUUGGGGCCCAGUUCAGUCGAUGCGGUGAGACACACAUAUGGUUCACAUUCAUACACACUUACAGUAAUAUUCAGUCAAUUAUCAACCUUCAAGUUCAACUAAAUCGAGUGCGAUAAAGUAUACCCUCGACUUAAAAGACCAGGGACAAUUGAGAUACGCUUCACAAAGAAUCAUUUAGUAAUAAUUCAUGAUAAGCAUAUUUGUCACAUAAUUUCACUUAGAUACACAUAAACAGUUUCGAAAAACUCACCAAGGAUUCAAAUGACUACUCUCGAGUCUCGAAUUGGUUUCUUGGUUCACGGCUACUUCCUGAUACAAGUCAAUAAUUUUAAAGUAAAUAUAUAAUUUGUAGAUGAUCAUUUAUUAUUCUUUUAUUUAAACCAUUAAAAUCAAGUUUGACCUUUCAUUCCUUCCUUUUUAAGUUAAAUCAAAUACUAGAUUGCCUGUGGUUUACGUCUUGUUAAAUUUAUUAGUUUUCUAGUUUUAAGUUCUCAAAAUUGUUCAUAUAGUUAGUGUCAAAUUGCUAUGAGAUGUUUCAUAUAAAUUCAGCACUAAUUUUUCUAGCAAUGUACACGGUCCAGCACUCAUUAUUCCCUCCACUCCUUCCUCUCACUCUCAUGCUCUUACUAGAUAGGCAACUCAUAUUCAUUAAGCUACAAAGUAGCCUUAGCUAUCAUCUAUGAAAGCUUACAAAGUUGGAAAUUAGAUGAAAUGCUGGUUGAAAGUUGAUUCUCACGGCUAGCAUUAUCGCAAAAAUGCAUUCAGGAAACAAAAGAAAGGCAACGAGAAAGGCAGCUUUGCCACCCUCUGGUGUUUUGAUCAUAACUGGAGCUAUACUUAUCGGAUUGAGGAAAUUUUUAUAGCGUUUCGAAAUUAAGAUAUAGACCUACAUUUCUUAUGAGACAUCGACACCAGUUCUCACAUUUUCAGGGUCAAAAAUGACCGGACAGAAGCACAUUCUGCUUCACUCCCUUGGCCAACAUUCUGCUUUGCUACCCUCUGGUGUUUUGAUCAUAACUGGAGCUACGCUUAUCGGAUUGAGGCAAAUUUUAUAGCGUUUCGAAGCUAAGACAUAGACCUACAUUUCUUGUGAAGACAUCGACACCUAGUUCUCACAUUUUCAAGGUAAAAUAUGUACGGUCAGAAGCACCUUCUGUUUCACUCUCUCGGCUGAAGCUAAAAGAAUUUCAGCAUGUAAUGGUUUAGCAGCUGCAUUUUUCCCUUUUCAUUCCUCCUCAGUUUUCUGUUCCAGAUUGUGUACAAAGUAUAUUGAUUCAAAUUCAAGUUAACUUAAGCAAAACGGGGCAGUUUAUGUUCAAAACUCAAAAGGAAAGCUGACUAAAAUUCAGCUCUGCGCAAGGCUGCAAAACUGAAGUACCGCAGCUUGCAUCAGAGUUCCUUCACGUAUGGUUCUCUCCACUUCACACUCACUAACCUACGACUGACCCCUUAAACUGAAGAAGGAAACAAAUAAUCUGUGCAUGCACCCCAUAACGUUAUUAACCCAAGAAAUUUUGACAUCAGUUGCAAGGUCCAGCUCAACACUCAGUUUCUGCAAUUUUUCUGAGAUUUCACAGUUGUUGCCCGGCAUUUACUUCAGCUACAAGCUCUUUUCACUCUAGUUAUCAACCCUGCUCUAAGUUCUCAGGUAAGACAAGAAAAUAGCAUAUAGUCUGAGCUUCUAGCAGAAAAUUACUCCCUACUUUCGGUUAACAAGCUGCAUGGUCAGUUUUUUUUCCCCUCGGAUGGAGCUGAAAGGUAACCACUCCCUAAACAAGUUUUCCCUUCAAUCAAACUGAGUUUUUCUUAGCUACAUUCCAGCAUACCACAGUAAUAUCCAAGUGUACUAGUUGUUUAGAAGGUUAUUGCAGUCACGUACCUCGUUCUUUCCUCCUAACGUUUGAAAAAAAAUUGCAGAUCGCACGUUUGGUUUCCUGCUCCAGUUCCCCUACUGCUCCAAACUCCUUUUCGUACUCACUCUUGGCUCACAAUUCUAAGGCUACAAACUGGAAGAAUUGCAGUUAACAAUAUCUAAUUCUCUCCUCCUCACUCUCUCGGUCGCAGCUGGAUGCAAGAGAGAAUCAGAAAAUGUUUUCCUUUUUCUCCCUCUUGUUUGAGUGCCGAGAUGAAAGAAAGGUGGUUUUGGUCUCUCUCUCGGUCUUGCUCCUAAUAUCUGGUUGGUAAGAAAGGAAAUGGAAUGUGUUUCACUCGGCCACCGCCCAAGCAUUGUCUCCGCUGUCUCCUUUCUCCCAUGGUCAUCACUUCAUUUAGCUAAUGGAUGGGCAGCUGUCUUGAUAGCUGUUAUUCACUGCCCAAGAUUACAAGCCAAGUCCUCCUAAUUUCUUCCUUCCACCGUUUAACUUGGUAGGCAGCUACCUAGCUUUCAUUUGGUUCCAAUUCUUCCAAAUAUUUUCCCUUUCUCGGUUCUGGACUUGUGAAUUUCUGAGGGUUGGUUUCGUAAUUGCAUGGUAGUUAGUCCGAAGUUCCAUGGUUGUUUUGGUCUUUUCAUUUUAGUUUAUUUGGUUACCCCAAGUCCGUAAUUAUAUUUGUCUCACACAUUGACUCAAAAUUUCGUUUGUUCUAAUUUGUAUGUAUCUUGAAAAAUUUUGCUUAUAUUAAUCUAGUAGAUUUUCACUCAUUUGGCUUUAAAGAAAAUUAAUUAGUCGUGUAACUUAUUCAAUUAUAUAAUAUACUCAAAUGGCUCAAAUUACAAUAUGCAUAUCAUAUAUUUAUUUGCUUCAUAUAAUUUUUUUUUUACACCAUUCUAGGAUAUUUCUAAGUUCUCAAUUUUUAUAUGAAUUUAAUUAGGCAUUUUAAUUUAACCAUUUAUUCAUUAUAUAUAAUAUUUCUAAUAUCAAAGUAAUUGAAAUAAAAGAAAUUCAUAGCAGACAUAUAAUUUUUCUCGAGUUCUCACAAUUUUAUAUUAUAUUCAUGUCAGAACAGUAUUUUUUUGAUUUUUUAUUUUUUAGACAAUAAUAAAAUGAAGUAGCCUUCAAUGGAAGACUUUAUUGAAGAGAUAAUAAAAUAAUUGCCCAAAAUACAAUAUAUAGCCAUGUGAUGCAUCCCAUCAUUGAUGGCACCAGUAGCUUUCAAUCAGUGCCAAUUGUAAUUACUCUAGUUCCUGCUCUUAAAGCAUCUUCCACGUUUUGCCACUGGGCUUUUGGUCUGGUUGUCAAAACUGGCGGUGCAGCAGGUCAAAGAUUCAAUCACAAAUUUAUCAUUAAAAUGUGACAGUCUUUAUUGAUCAUCUUCGAUGGAGUCUGUACUCACAAGUCUCCUUCUCCCUUUUCCUAGAUUAGACUAAAUUAGGUUAUAGGACUUCUAUCGUUGCGCCAAAAAAAAAAAAAGACCAAUAUUCCCACAACUUGCUGCCACGUUAAAGGCUCUAGCGGUGUUAUUAACAUUUAACAAACAUCAAGCCAUAUAUAACUUGUCUUAUAUAAUUAAAGUAAAAGUAGAAAUUAAAAAUUCAAAUCUUAAUAAGUUCAAAGGAACGCAAACCACCAAUCUAACCAAGGCAUGUUUCAGCUUGUGUAUUCCACAUUACGGCAAUGAGAUGGAAUAUAUCAGAUUUUGCUAUCACUCCAUUGAGGCAGAAAAUCUCAUCAAAAUGUGCAAAAGAACAUGUUCAUCAACGUAUCACCCCAAGAUCAACAUCAGAUAAAAUCAAUUUUAUCUAAUCAAUAACCAUCUUGAAAGUUAAUUGCAUUGUUAGUAUCAGUAAGAUUUGCAUUAGAUUUUAUCUAUUGAAAAACUGUUAAAAAUGUUAGGAUAAAUUCUUCUAGGAACAUGCAAAACUCUUAACAUCUAAAGCAAAAGACAAAGGAAAUGAUGGACAAAGUCAUUCUCAGAUGCCAGGUUACUAACAUUUGACAUAUGAUAUUUGACAAUUUUCACUAACAAUUUAUGCAUACAAAUUUAGGUAAAACAAAGCAGCCAAAGGUCAAAUUCAUUGAUGACAAUACGCGAUUUAAUGCAGACAAAAGAAAUUUCACAAUUGAACUUAACAUAUAGGAAGAAGACGAAUUUUCAUCACAAGCAUGGUACCUAAUUUCUAAAGUACUGUAGACAUGACUGCCCAAAUUUCUUCGAAAAAAUACUAGUUCACCAAAAUUAGAACCAAAAAAAAAGGAAAAAAAAAAGAACAUGAAAAUAAAAGGUAGUUAAAGAAAAAUGUCCACCUGAAAAAGAUCCCUGCUUGGUGAAAAAUGUCAAAAACUAGUCAUCUCCACAAGUCAUCAAGAAUGUCAAUAAAAGGUGUUACCCAGUUGGUUUAAAAAUGAAGUGCAUCUUUCUCAUGCAUUGACCAACCGGAGCAUGGGCAUUUUGAAUGUCUUGCUCAAGUUAAUCCUUAUCCUACUUGUUUCUAGCUGUUGUUGUACAUAAGCCUACAAAACAGCACAUAGAAAAUGUCCAAGAACAUGGAAAUGGAGAAAAGGGUUAGUCAAAAAUUAUGGUAACGGUCGCAUCAAUAGCCAGAAGUCGGCACUGACCUGUAAUUAAAACAUGGCAGGCUGAGGAACUACUAGGAUAGGAGAUAUUUAGGCAUAAGCAGGGGAGGCACUUAAGAAGUACUGCCAGUUAAUAUCUGGAAUCAAGCUAAAAGCAAGAGAUAGAAAAUCAAGAGAUGAAUAUAAUGGUGGUUGCAGUAGUAUUAUUAGUUUACUUCUAACCAAAGGUGGUUUUUCCAAAAGCCUCAGGAUCAAUAAAAAAAUGUUCAAGUACCGAAAGAAAUGUGGUAAGCAGAUCAUUUUACCGUUCAAAGAAGCAAUCUUGAUUCUUAGAACUACAAACAUCAAUGUUAAUUUCUUCUACAACUCCCCAUGUAAGAAUAAGAAAGAAAUAUUUGGAGCAAAAAUAAUCAAAUUGAAAGCCAUAAACAUACAAAUAUAUUGGAUGAGAUAUGAUUCAUUAUAAUAGAUUUUUUCCACAAAAUCAUCAUCACCUUCUACUUUCUACAUUUAUUUAAUUGCAAGGUAAACUGACAAAUUUUAGCAUCUAACUGUGGGCACUCAAAAUCUACAUAAGUACUCACAAAUCCUAUGCAUUCAGGCAUUAUUCCGAAAAGGUUCCAAGCCAAACUUUGACUCAUUAACUAAAACUCAAACAAACAAGAAAAUGGAAACCAAAGACCAACUUGUUUUAUUGUUACCACAAAUUAUCAAAAAAAACCCAAAAAAAUAAUGUUUAAUUGGCAAAAUUUAAAUUUUGAUGUUACCUUCAUGAGCUCUAUAGGAAGAGAAGAAUUAGAUAUCCGGGAGAGUAAGGAUGAGAGAAUGCACAGUGAUGACAAAGGUUGGCAACACAGCACCGGCGGAGGAGGAGGCACAAGUCAACACAAAGAGGGGAAGGAAGAGAGUGAUAGAAACUAAUUGGAACCUCAUAAUUUCAACCUGAGUUCUGCAAACGGUUUUUCACCAUAUACAAUAAAUCUGAAAAUGUAAAUGUCGAACGCUCGUAAACAUACGGCCAUUUCCCAAUCGAUUCUCAUUUUUGUAAAGACCGAUUUUAGACAAACUCAAAAUCAAAAUUCAGACUGAACAGAAUUUGACAAAGCCAGAAAUGAUAAAACUACAAUGGAUAGCUUUUGUGGAUCAGUUCAAGAUUUUGUACGCAGCUUAUAUUGUUUGAAUGGUAGCUAGUGUGUACAAGUGUAAUUAAUAUGAACUAGGUUUAACACAAAUCUGGUGCAUUUAGACUCGUGAGGCAAGAUGAAAUUUUGGACUAGCCAAACCGAAUUUGCCUCCUUUCAGCACCAUGGCCAUUUGGCAUCUCUCCAAGUAAAACAACGAGAUUUGCUGCUGAUUUCAGCCACACGAGACA
rnacentral:lncRNA from 1 species